UUCUGCUAUAAAUGAGGUACACACUACUUUUUUAUAGCGUUUAGUGUUAUAAUAUGUUAUAAGCGGGAAUAAAUUUUUAGUUGCCCGCUUGUUUUAAUUUUUGUGUUGGCAAAAAGCCAAAACACUUAGAAAAAAACAAAAAACUUUCCCCAGCUUUCUUUAUUUCUCUCUAGUGCCGAAGCUUUCUUCUCGAUCGUGCCCAAGCUUUCUUUCUCUUUGCCGUCCGUCGCCGUCGUUAUUCCGCCGCCGUCGUCGUUAUUCCGAUCCACUUUCAUAGAUUUUUGGGUCAGAUUUGGCUAAAAGUAUUACUUAGGGAUUUUUAAUUUUUUUGGUUCACGUUUUCUAAUUCGACUUGUUUCCAUGAGUAAUUGAUUCUACAAAUCCUUUGUCCAAGAAGACUUGAGCUUAAUCGUAAGAUUGUGAAUCCUUUCUCUCCUUGUUGUUCUAUUUUUGUUCGGCCAUGUUUGUUAAGGAGAUUGAAUAUGUUAGUAACUUGAAUGUCUGAUCAAUUGAAUUUUUAUUGUUUAUAACUGGUCGAGGAGCUGUGUUGUGUUUGGUAAUAUGGAGAAGUCAUGGGUUUGCCACACAAUCACUCUAAGCCAUA